CCUACGGGAGGCAGCAGUGAGGAAUAUUGGUCAAUGGACGCAAGUCUGAACCAGCCAAGUAGCGUGCAGGAUGACGGCCCUCCGGGUUGUAAACUGCUUUUAGUUGGGAAUAAAAAAGAGGACGUGUCCUCUCUUGUAUGUACCUUCAGAAAAAGGACCGGCUAAUUCCGUGCCAGCAGCCGCGGUAAUACGGAAGGUCCAGGCGUUAUCCGGAUUUAUUGGGUUUAAAGGGAGCGUAGGCGGAUUAUUAAGUCAGUGGUGAAAGACGGUGGCUCAACCAUCGUUAGCCAUUGAAACUGGUAGUCUUGAGUGCAGACAGGGAUGCUGGAACUCGUGGUGUAGCGGUGAAAUGCUUAGAUAUCACGAUGAACUCCGAUCGCGAAGGCAGGUGUCCGGGCUGCAACUGACGCUGAGGCUCGAAAGUGUGGGUAUCAAACAGG
rnacentral:rRNA from 1 species